rnacentral:rRNA from 1 species
GCUUACACAUGCAAGUCGAACGAGAAAGGGAUUGCUUGCAAUCCUGAGUAGAGUGGCGCACGGGUGAGUAACGCGUAGAUAAUCUACCUCCAAGCCCGGGAUAACUAUCCGAAAGGGUGGCUAAUACCGGAUGAAGUGAUUUAACAUAAGCUGAAUCAUGAAAGAUGGCCUCUUCCUGAAAGCAAUUGUUUGGAGAUGAGUUUGCGGACCAUUAGUUAGUUGGUGGGGUAACGGCCUACCAAGACGACGAUGGUUAGCUGGUCUGAGAGGAUGAUCAGCCACACUGGAACUGGUACACGGUCCAGACUCCUACGGGAGGCAGCAGUGAGGAAUUUUGCGCAAUGGGGGCAACCCUGACGCAGCAACGCCGCGUGAGUGAAGAAGGCCUUUGGGUCGUAAAGCUCUGUCGACAGGGAAGAAAUUAUUGUUAUUUAAAAGAUGAUGGUAUUGACGGUACCUGUAGAGGAAGCACCGGCUAACUCCGUGCCAGCAGCCGCGGUAAUACGGGGGGUGCAAGCGUUAUUCGGAAUUAUUGGGCGUAAAGGGCGCGUAGGCGGUCUUGUCGGUCAGAUGUGAAAGCCCGGGGCUCAACCCCGGACGUGCAUUUGAAACAGCAAGACUUGAGUACGGGAGAGGAAAGCGGAAUUCCUGGUGUAGAGGUGAAAUUCGUAGAUAUCAGGAGGAACACCGAUGGCGAAGGCAGCUUUCUGGACCGAUACUGACGCUGAGGCGCGAAGGCGUGGGUAGCGAACAGGAUUAGAUACCCUGGUAGUCCACGCAGUAAACGAUGUUCACUAGGUGUGGCGGAUAUUAAAAUCUGCUGUGCCCAAGCUAACGCAUUAAGUGAACCGCCUGGGGAGUACGGUCGCAAGACUAAAACUCAAGGAAUUGACGGGGGCCCGCACAAGCGGUGGAACAUGUGGUUUAAUUCGACGCACCGCGAAGACCUUACCUGGAGUUUGAC